UGAGACUUUAAAAUUAAAAAUAACUGAAUGCAUGUGCAAUUAAUGACGCGACCAGCCAACCAAUGUUUACUACUUAAAUAUUUAUUUCCCUUCAACUUCCAUAAUAAUAAAAUAUUCAAAAUCAAACUUUUUAGGUUUUAAUUGCCACUUAGCAGUGUCAUUCUCGUUCUUUCUUUCUCAAAAUGGGCAAAGAAAGGAAGAAGAAGAAGAAGUAAACAAGAAAGGGAUAGUUAUUUUCCUUUUGUUUAGUGAAAGCCAAGAGAUGAGAAGGGAGCCGGUGAAGACAGCAAUCUGAAUCUGAAAUACUGACCACCAUCACCAUCACCAUCACCAUCACCAUCACCAUCACCAU
rnacentral:misc_RNA from 1 species